CAGUAGCCGCGGUAAAACGGAGGGAGCUAGCGUUGUUCGGAAUUACUGGGCGUAAAGCGCACGUAGGCGGCUAUUCAAGUCAGGGGUGAAAGCCCGGAGCUCAACCCCGGAACUGCCUUUGAAACUAGAUAGCUUGAAUCUUGGAGAGGCGAGUGGAAUUCCGAGUGUAGAGGUGAAAUUCGUAGAUAUUCGGAAGAACACCAGUGGCGAAGGCGACUCGCUGGACAAGUAUUGACGCUGAGGUGCGAAGCGUGGGGAGCAAACAGGAUUAGAUACCCCCGUAGUCCCUGUCUCUUAUACA
rnacentral:rRNA from 1 species